rnacentral:rRNA from 1 species
AGAGUUUGAUCCUGGCUCAGGAUGAACGCUGGCGGCGUGCUUAACACAUGCAAGUCGAACGAUGAUCCGGUGCUUGCACCGGGGAUUAGUGGCGAACGGGUGAGUAACACGUGAGUAACCUGCCCUUAACUCUGGGAUAAGCCUGGGAAACUGGGUCUAAUACCGGAUAUGACUCCUCAUCGCAUGGUGGGGGGUGGAAAGCUUUUUGUGGUUUUGGAUGGACUCGCGGCCUAUCAGCUUGUUGGUGAGGUAAUGGCUCACCAAGGCGACGACGGGUAGCCGGCCUGAGAGGGUGACCGGCCACACUGGGACUGAGACACGGCCCAGACUCCUACGGGAGGCAGCAGUGGGGAAUAUUGCACAAUGGGCGCAAGCCUGAUGCAGCGACGCCGCGUGAGGGAUGACGGCCUUCGGGUUGUAAACCUCUUUCAGUAGGGAAGAAGCGAAAGUGACGGUACCUGCAGAAGAAGCGCCGGCUAACUACGUGCCAGCAGCCGCGGUAAUACGUAGGGCGCAAGCGUUAUCCGGAAUUAUUGGGCGUAAAGAGCUCGUAGGCGGUUUGUCGCGUCUGCCGUGAAAGUCCGGGGCUCAACUCCGGAUCUGCGGUGGGUACGGGCAGACUAGAGUGAUGUAGGGGAGACUGGAAUUCCUGGUGUAGCGGUGAAAUGCGCAGAUAUCAGGAGGAACACCGAUGGCGAAGGCAGGUCUCUGGGCAUUAACUGACGCUGAGGAGCGAAAGCAUGGGGAGCGAACAGGAUUAGAUACCCUGGUAGUCCAUGCCGUAAACGUUGGGCACUAGG